rnacentral:lncRNA from 1 species
GGCUUUUGAACCCUAAGAAGAAGAAGGCCAACCGUCACCUAACUCCAUCUUCACCUUAGAGCCAUCUCACCUCCCUUCAUAGACCUAACCGCCGCACCACCCAUCUCUGACGCCUAUCGCCGCCGCGCCACCACCAAAGAAAAAGGCAGCCACUCCACCCUCAACAAAAACCCGCCGGAAACCUAACACACUCCACCCUUCUCGAUCUACCAACGACCUCACUCUCCCUUUCACUUUGAGAGACAACAACCAAUCUCUCAUUUUCCAAAAUGAAAGAAACGACAAAAAACAGAAGGGGAAUGGGAUUUGGAAAACGAAACAGAGCAGAGAACAGACUACCCUAGAGCUAAUGGCCGCACUCCCUUAUGUUUGAGACUCUAAUCUCUUUGUUUUUCACGCCUCAUCAACGACUCCCAUACCCCUAUUCUUAUCUUCUCCCAUAUCUCUCUCUCUUUCCGUAGCUACUGCCGUCGCCAUCAUUUAAGCCGCCGUUGCCAAAAAUCUGCCGCUCACAUCAUUUUGGUCGAGUUAAAGAGGUCGAAUUCGAGUUCGCCGGUGAGUUUCAGUUCGUUGGUCAUGGUUGAAUUUUCUGAUUCUCGAUUCAGUGUGGAUUCAGUCCAAUUUCUCAGAAGAAAAUUAUCAUUAAAGGUCUAAUUCUCUUUCUUUUUUUGUGCAUUUUUAUGUUACAACUUUGCUGUUGAUUGCUUGACUUUGCAAAUUGAUUUUGUGGCUGAUAUUAUAAUUUGUAUGUUAGUAGUAUGUUCUUGACAGAAUAAUUGUUAUGCUUUAAAUCACUUAUUCUUUAGUUAACAUAAGAAAUGAAUUGGAUUUGGAUUAUGGGUUUAGUUAAAAAGUUGAAAUUGAAGAUGAUGCUAUCUUGAAGACAGGGAAGUGAUUUAAACUUAAGAAUAUUUUUGAUUAAUUUUCUUGUUUGAUUUUAUUCUAUUAAUGGCCAUGGGGUCGGGACAUAAAGGAGUAGAAUUGAAAUUUGUGUAUUACAUGUUUACUACUUUAUUUUAUUUUGACCGCUAGUAGCAUGCUUAGGACGACCACACUAGGGUAGGCAAAUUUUAGGUCUCGUCUUUUAUUUCAUUCGAGGUGAGAGCUUGUUCCCUUUAGUCUAUAUUUAGGAGAAUGCCCCGUAGAUAUUGUAUAUAGUAUUAUCCGGGGGUAUGCCCCGUAAUGAAUGUAAUUGAAGGCCGUGACGGACAUCGUGGAAUGAGCAUAGUGUAGACUCUUUGUAUUUUUAUCUUAUUUUAUUUAGAUGGGGACGACCUCGAGCCUCUUGUGUGUUUUUGCCUUAGUCUGAGUAUUCUUUAAAGCCAACUAGAUCAAGUACACAAUCGUGACUUUCACGGGACUUGGGGAAUGCCUAACACCUUCUACCCAAGUCAAAUAAAUCCCCUUGUCAUGAAUAUUUGGUGCAGACUAUGUUUAGAGUCAAAUGUGUUUUGAAGAAAAUUUUUUAUUUUAAAAACGGUGACUUGGCACACCGAAACGAAAUAUCAGGUGGCGACUCUGAUAAAAUCCUUCGAAACACAAAACUCUUGUCACUUUUAAUUUAAAAACCCUUUUAAGCUUCAAAAUUUUUUACUACUUUAAAGGGGUUAGUGAGGUGAAAAAGGGGUGUGACAGAUUUGGCGACUUUGCUAGGGAGUUGCAGGUUCGAACGACACUUGAUCUUGUUGGAUUUUUAGAAUAUUCGGAUGAGGUUUUUACGCUUUUUUAUUUUCUUUAUGUGAUUUUUAUUUUGUUUAUGUUGUUUUAUUAUUUGCUAGUUGUUUUAUGUGUUUACAGUUUUUCUUUUAUAUGUUGCUGCUUUAUAACUGUCAUCAUAUGUCAAUUCUUUCUGCAACAAGUCUCGUAGUAUGUGUUGCGUACACAAACUCUUUAUUGAGUCACCCUUAUUAUAGGAGGAGGCCGUUUGAUGUAUGGAGUGGGUGAAAAGCUUGAGCAGCCACUAUCGACCAUACGCUCCCCCGAAUUGCCUUGUUAGUGAACCCCAAAACGUAGGUCAGCCUUUAGGUCAUUUUUAUUUGCAUCAUAUCAUUUAGACCUACCAAGGCUCGGUCCCAGGCACCGUGUCCCUUUGUAGGAGGCCUAUCCAAAUUAUAUCAAAAUGGGUCAGUGGCCCAAAAAGACAUUUAAUCAUCCCUAUGUGUUACAUGUUGUAUUCUUUAAGAGUAAAAGGUGUCAUUUGGCGGAUCAAUAAUGGUUAAGGGUAAAUGAGAAAGAAAAGAGGGUGAAGUGUAAAAAUGAAUCAAGCAGGGCCCAUUUAUAUUUUUCUUUCACAAUUUUUUUUCAAGAAAAAGACCAAAAAAAUGAAAAUGAAAAAUCCAAAAAGAUUUUGCACAUUCCCAUCAUUUUUCAAAAAGACAAAAAAUAUGUUUUCUCCAAAUCGGUUGUUUUUUCAAAAUUCUCUCCCAUAUCCAAUCUUCCCGAACUAUGCAUACCUGAUUCUCGUCUUUCGGGACGGGAUACGUAGGCAGCCCAUAUAGGGCCUGGUCUUCCUAUUGAGUCUUAGGUUCUUGGCUUCAGGAAGUCAUAGCCAAAUCUUGCAUGUCUAGCCACGUUUGGCCAUAUUGAUCAUUUUGCAAAAUAGUGAUAUUUUCUCAAACUGGAUUAUUAUUCCAUGUUCCGUAAGUCCACAACAAGGCGUUCUCUCAAUUUUAAGGUCCAUUCCUGUUGAAUUUGCAUGUCUAGUCACUUUUGCCCACAUCAUCCAUUCUUGCAAAAUAGGGUCAUUUUCGCGAAAGUGGUUUAGCGACCCAUGUAUUACAAUAUUGAGUCCACAACUAGGUGUCAUAUUACUUUAAGACCGUCUUUAUUGAAUUUUCAUCUUUAGCCACGUUUGUCCAUAUCGGCCAUUUGCAAAAUGGGUCAUUUUUGCAAAGUAAUUUCUAGGGCCAUGAUUAUUAGAAAUUUGAAGCCAUAUAAACCUUAGUGACGCAUUCCAUGUAUUAUAGGUCACCUUUGUUGAGUUUGCACUAAUAGCCACCCUUGGCCACGUAGGUCAUUUUGCAAAAAUAGCCCAAUCAUGUCUUGCAUGUGUCCAAUAGGAGGUGUUGUUGCGUUGCAUAGUGUCUUGAGUCACUAACCUUAUUUAAUCUUAUUCUUCUCAUUCAGGUAUGGAUCCAUUUGUCAGUGCUUGAGCAUGACAGACGCCCCAGGACCAUCCAGUCAGGACCACUACAUUUAGGAGUUGCUUGAAGAGACUUUUUAUAUUUUUGAGUAUGUUUUCAUGUUUCUUUUACUUUCUAGUCUUGGUUAUUGUACUUCCUGUUUUGUAUUUGAAAACAAAAAAAGGUUUAUAAAUGGAAAAUCUAAAAAUAUUUUUAUUUUUAGUUUAUUUUGUCCAUUACUUUUCCAGAACUACGCUUGAUCUUAUUCAUGUGGAACAUGAUAUGUAGGCAACCUAUAUAGGAUUCGAUCGAAUCAUUUUUUUAAAAUUAAAAACAAAUAUGAAGUUAUAGAAUGUGAUACAUGAGAGGAAAGAAAAGAGUGAUAAUUAGAAAGAAAAGAGAGAGAGG